AUAACACUUCAACUAAGGUCUAUUAGACCCCAAAACCUCUGCUAAUUUUGACCAAUCCCAGAUUCCUAGAUUUCUAGGGUUCUUAGGGCUUAAAUUAGGGGUUUGAAUGGUUCUGGUCUGAUUCGAACCAAACCAACUGUGGUUUGGUGACGAUGGAGGUCAAGGAGAUGUCUGGUAUGAUUUUGGGCUUGGUUGGGGUGGUUUUAGUUUUGACCCAAAUCUUCAAACGAAGAUUCAAGACAAAAAGGAAAGAUUCGAGCAAAACAGACAUGGGAUUUGUGUUCAGGGAAUCAAGGGGGCUAAGGGGUGUUAAGGAGAUGACUGGGCGUAGAUGCUGCCAGGUUUCAGGCUACUAAAAUCAAUGGCAGGUAGGGUUAGAUAUUCGUUUCUAAAGUGUGAAAAAGGCGAGUGACAGGGGUAGGGUGGAUACGGGGGGUACGGGGUGUGAGGAUGAGC
rnacentral:lncRNA from 1 species